GCGACAGUAGGUUGGUCGUGCCACCGGUACGUACUGGUCUCACUGAUUCCUCCUUCCUGAAGAACCGUAAUGCCAUUAAUUUGGUGUUGCGGGGAAACAGGACUGUUACUUUGAAAAAAUUAGAGUGUUUAAAGCAAGCUAACGCUUGAAUACAUUAGCAUGGAAUAAUGACAUAGGACGAUCGAUCCUAUUUUGUUGGUUUCUAGGAUUGACGUA
rnacentral:rRNA from 1 species